GACGAACGCUGGCGGCGUGCUUAACACAUGCAAGUCGAACGGAAAGGCCCCUUUGGGGGUACUCGAGUGGCGCACGGGUGAGUAACACGUGAGUAACCUGCCCUUGACUUCGGGAUAACUUCAGGAAACUGGGGCUAAUACCGGAUAGGAAUCCUUGCUGCAUGGUGGGGGUUGGAAAGCUUCGGCGGUUUUGGAUGGACUCGCGGCUUAUCAGCUUGUUGGUGGGGUAGUGGCUUACCAAGGCUUUGACGGGUAGCCGGCCUGAGAGGGCGACCGGCCACAUUGGGACUGAGAUACGGCCCAGACUCCUACGGGAGGCAGCAGUGGGGAAUAUUGCACAAUGGGCGGAAGCCUGAUGCAGCAACGCCGCGUGCGGGAUGACGGCCUUCGGGUUGUAAACCGCUUUCAGCAGGGGCGAAGCUUGUGGUGACGGUACCGGCAGAAGAAGCACCGGCUAACUACGU
rnacentral:rRNA from 1 species